rnacentral:rRNA from 1 species
AUUGAACGCUGGCGGCAGGCCUAACACAUGCAAGUCGAACGAGUGGCGGACGGGUGAGUAAUGUCUGGGAAACUGCCCGAUGGAGGGGGAUAACUACUGGAAACGGUAGCUAAUACCGCAUACCAUCGGAUGUGCCCAGAUGGGAUUAGCUAGGAGGGGGGGUAAAGGCUCACCUAGGCGACGAUCCCUAGCUGGUCUGAGAGGAUGACCAGCGACCCUGGAACUGAGACACGGUCCAGACUCCUGCGGUAGGCAGCAGUGGGGAAGAUUGCACACUGGGCGCAAGCCUGAUGCAGCCAUGCCGCGUGUAUGAAGAAGGCCUUCGGGUUGUAAAGUACUUUCAGCGUGGAGGCGUUACCCGCAGAAGAAGCACCGGCUAACUCCGUGCCAGCAGCCGCGGUAAUUC